UGCGUUGCAGCUCGUAUUUUAUAUCUGGAUGGUGACUGCAAUAGGAUGUGCUUUUUAAAUAAGAGCGAUAUGCUGUUUGAAGUGCAAUUAAAUGCAGUUUCAAAUGACCUCAACUUGGGGGAUCACAUGAUGGGAGGCCA
rnacentral:lncRNA from 1 species